GGCGGACGGGUGAGUAAUGCCUAGGAAUCUGCCUGGUAGUGGGGGAUAACGUUCGGAAACGGACGCUAAUACCGCAUACGUCCUACGGGAGAAAGCAGGGGACCUUCGGGCCUUGCGCUAUCAGAUGAGCCUAGGUCGGAUUAGCUAGUUGGUGGGGUAAUGGCUCACCAAGGCGACGAUCCGUAACUGGUCUGAGAGGAUGAUCAGUCACACUGGAACUGAGACACGGUCCAGACUCCUACGGGAGGCAGCAGUGGGGAAUAUUGGACAAUGGGCGAAAGCCUGAUCCAGCCAUGCCGCGUGUGUGAAGAAGGUCUUCGGAUUGUAAAGCACUUUAAGUUGGGAGGAAGGGCAGUAAAUUAAUACUUUGCUGUUUUGACGUUACCGACAGAAUAAGCACCGGCUAACUCUGUGCCAGCAGCCGCGGUAAUACAGAGGGUGCAAGCGUUAAUCGGAAUUACUGGGCGUAAAGCGCGC
rnacentral:rRNA from 1 species